CUGGGAUUGUGUAUGUUAAUACCCAACUUUAUCCUGAAAGAGACUUCAGCGUGGCAGGGAGAAGAAGGAACUUUCACUAAGGAGUCCCUCAGCUGCAUUUUGUGGGCAUAUGGGGAACAUGACAGGCUAGAGGAAGCUAGCUCCAACAGGCCUCCCUGGAAGA